CUGGCGAACAGAUGCAAAGAUCCUCGUCCCGUAAUUCGGGCACCUCAGGCGAGGGGAGCAAGUGGUGCGACCGGCUCUUCGUUUC
rfam:Deinococcus maricopensis DSM 21211, complete genome.